GGGAACCAGACCAUUUCUAGAGGAGAUUGCAGACUUCUAUCAGAAAACUGUACAGCUAGAGGUGCAGUGAACUCUUCACCAGAUGCCAGUAGGCAAGAAGUCGAUGGAAACACGUUCAGCACGUGUGAGGCAUUGGAUGAAGACAUCCAACUAUGACUAAAGUCAUCUUUUUGAAAACCUGACACAUUCAUGCAGAUGGAUACGAAACUCUACCAGUAAGAAUCUCAUGCUACAACCAGACACCUGGGACAGAACUGCUUAGAACCCAGUGCGAAGAGUUCCCUUAAUUCUCUGAGGUAUUUCCUCUCUUGAAGCAGCGGAGUUGGUGAGACAAUCGUAAUCCAGGUGUUAUUACCCUGGAGUCCUUUGUUUAAACGUUCUGCAGAUGUCAUAGGUUUGUAAAUAAAACAGCUUGUGAAUGUGUAUAUAUCUUCACUAUUUGAAGUUGAAAGGUUCAUAACUUGAGUAAGAUCU
rnacentral:lncRNA from 1 species